rnacentral:rRNA from 1 species
UACGGAGGGAGCUAGCGUUAUUCGGAAUUACUGGGCGUAAAGCGCACGUAGGCGGCUUUGUAAGUUAGAGGUGAAAGCCUGGAGCUCAACUCCAGAAUUGCCUUUAAGACUGCAUCGCUUGAAUCCAGGAGAGGUGAGUGGAAUUCCGAGUGUAGAGGUGAAAUUCGUAGAUAUUCGGAAGAACACCAGUGGCGAAGACGGCUCACUGGACUGGUAUUGACGCUGAGGUGCGAAAGCGUGGGGAGCAAACAGG